GACACACAUUGACUUUGGAAUCUCCCAGACCUCAGCAUCCACUGCUUGACCACUUCUGCUGAACAAGGCCAUGCAAGGGGAAAGCUCUCACCUAUUUUUCUGAUAAUCCAUGUGCAAGGAAUCCUAAAGAACACUUUGGGAGCAAGCUGAUGACUCCACUGGAGGAGCCAUUUUGCCUCUGAUGGGAAUUGAACCCCAGGGCAUGUGAUGAUGGCACAUUAUAUAUGACCAUGCCAAAAAAAAAAGAAAAAGAAAAAAGCCAGGAACUGAGAGUGGGAAGAGAAGAGCUGCAGCAAGACCUUGCCACAAUCUGUGAAAAGGGCUACAGAAUCCAGUGGCCUAAGCAAGCAUGACAAGAAGUUAUGUUUUUGGAACCUUAUUAUUCUCCUGAAUAAAGUUGAAUUAAGGACUAUUUUGGACAUGAAGAACCAGGGGUCAUCCCAUGAAAUUGAUUGCCAGGAAAUUGAGGACCAACGAACAGAAGUACUUUUUCACACAACGCAUAAUAAACUUGUGGAAUUCUCUGCCACAAGAUGUGGUGUCAGCCAACAACAUGGAUGGCUUUAAGAGGGGUUUGGAUAACUUCAUGGAGGAGAGGUCUAUCAAUGGCUACUAGUCGGAGGGCUAUAGGCCACCUCCGGCCUCAAAGGUAGGAUGCCUCUGAAUACCAGUUGCAAGGGAGUAACAGCAGGAGAGAGGGCAUGCCCUCAACUCCUGCCUGUAGGCUUCCAGCAGCAUCUGGUGGACCACUGCGUGAAACAGGAUGUUGGACUAGAUGGGCCUUGGGCCUGAUCCAGCAGGGCUGUUCAUAUGUUAUUUUUUGCUGCUAAAUUUGCCUGAAAAGGAAAGCAAUUAUUGCUAACUUCUUCUCAAGACCAAUAUUUGAGAAGCUUCUCAGUCCAAUGCACGCCCCACCUUUCAUUUAGGAAGUUUCCAAAGCAUUUUACAAACUAUACAUAAAUUGCCUCACCAAACUAAAUAAACUAGAUCUAGAAUUAAAAAGGCAUAUGUUUUAAAAUAGGCAUGGCUGUCUAGGACAGUGAAUAAAGUAUGUCAUGUCCAACUGAAAUUACAGGGGAAGGUUUUAGCAAGGAUCACAAAAUUAACCAAGUUCCUUUGCAAGGAUCAUUGCCCAUCUUGGAUUGUAAAAGCCACUGGGAAAAGCCUGGGCCUUUUUGCUUUUUUUUUUUUUUGCAAAUGCAAAGUCUGAAUGGUUCCCUGAGGAAGGACAUGUUGUUGGCAAAUUUUAAACACCUAGUUUAAGAUGAUUACUGGUGGAAUUUCUGACAGGUAACUCUUGUGCCUUUGUUGCUGUUUUUGGAGGAGGAGAAAGA